rnacentral:rRNA from 1 species
GACGAACCGUCCAAACGUUAUUCGGAAUCACUGGGCUUACAGAGUUCGUAGGCGGUCUGGAAAGUUGGGUGUGAAAUCCCUCGGCUCAACCGAGGAACUGCGCUUGAAACUACCAGACUCGAGGGGGAUAGAGGAAAGCGGAACUGAUGGUGGAGCGGUGAAAUGCGUUGAUAUCAUCAGGAACACCGGUGGCGAAGGCGGCUUUCUGGGUCUUACCUGACGCUGAGGAACGAAAGCCAGGGGAGCGAAC